rnacentral:piRNA from 1 species
CAGAAUGGAGGUGGGGUAUGUUUA